UGCAGGUACCAACAGACUUAGCAGGAAG
rnacentral:piRNA from 1 species